CUCAUUGAAGUGGUUAUAGUGCCUGGAGCCCCCUGGCACUUCCUCCAUUCAGUGUUAAACCAUUUCAUCUCAUUGAAGUAUUUAUAGAGUCUGGAGUCCCCUUCGGCUGUCCCUCCAUGCAGUGUUAAACCAUUCCAUCUCAUUGAAGUGGUUAUAGUACUUGGAGUCCCUGGUCUCCAUUCAGUGUUAAACCAUUUUAUCUCAUUGAAGUGGUUAUAGUACUUGGAGUCCCCUGGCG